rnacentral:tRNA from 1 species
GCCCCGGUAGCUCAGCCUGGUUGGAGCGCUCGCUUGGUAAGCGAGAGGUCCCGGGUUCGAAUCCCGGCCGGGGCUCCA